rnacentral:rRNA from 1 species
GAUGAACGCUGGCGGCGCGCCUAAUACAUGCAAGUCGAGCGAACAGACGAGGAGCUUGCUCCUCUGACGUUAGCGGCGGACGGGUGAGUAACACGUGGAUAACCUACCUAUAAGACUGGGAUAACUUCGGGAAACCGGAGCUAAUACCGGAUAAUAUAUUGAACCGCAUGGUUCAAUAGUGAAAGACGGUUUUGCUGUCACUUAUAGAUGGAUCCGCGCCGCAUUAGCUAGUUGGUAAGGUAACGGCUUACCAAGGCAACGAUGCGUAGCCGACCUGAGAGGGUGAUCGGCCACACUGGAACUGAGAAACGGUCCAGGCUCCUACGGGAGGCAGCAGUAGGGAAUCUUCCGCAAAGGGCGAAAGCCUGACGGAGCAACGCCGCGUGAGUGAUGAAGGUCUUCGGAUCGUAAAACUCUGUUAUUAGGGAAGAACAAAUGUGUAAGUAACUAUGCACGUCUUGACGGUACCUAAUCAGAAAGCCACGGCUAACUACGUG